CACCUGCCCUAGCCAGAAUCCCACCACAAAUAAUUUGGAGCGAUGUCGUGUGUGUGUGGCGGCGGCGAGACAUUUAUGUAAUGUAAUAGGAAUAUUUAAAUAAUUAAAGCAGGCGGUCUGCACAAGUCCAUAGGGACUUUUAUUAGAAGGGGUUUCCACACACACCCCAGCCCCGCAAAGAGUUUCCAGGGGGAUGGCGGGACCAAUUAGGACGUGCUCAAGGGGGGUGGGUUGCGUUUUUAGGUUCAUUUUACUAAGCCAUAGCUGUCAACUUUUCUCUUGCGAGGAAUUCUAUUCGGAAUAAAGGAAUUUCCCUUUAAAAAGGGGGAAAGUUGACGGCUAUGAUGGUAGCUUCAUUCACUGAAGAAAGGUCCUUUUCUGCUUAUGGCGCAGAGGCAAGCAGAUCACGGUGCUAGAGGUUUUUUUCAAACAAAAUUGGGCAACAUCUGUAAGUGUCUUUCAGUUUCCAUCAGCAAUCUUAAGGGAACCAACAGCUGUGGCCUUUUUUCAAAAGGAGAAAUGCUAUAUUGCUUUGAACUAGAGGCGGGAAAGCUGGCUCUGAAAAUGAAGUUAGGAUAUUUUUCAGACAUUGCCACCGCUCUCAUUUCACAAAUGGAAUCAAAGGUGCUCUUGUAUGCUUGUGUAUGAGGUUGCUUCUAGUCCACAAAACCCCAGCGCAAAGUCGUGCCGGUCUCCCGAGAGCCACGCAGAGCUGCCUGCAUUCUGAAGCCUGGGGCGCACUGAAGAGUGUGCCCGGGCUUCGUGCAGCUCUCCGCAAGCCUGGGGAGACCGGCGCGACUUCCCGCCGGGCUCCCUAGGCUUGCGGAUAGCAGACUGUUCUUGGGGUUGGGGUCGGGGGAAGCUCGGGCUUCCCCGCGCCAGCCCCGUGCCUGGGGGGGGGAAUAUUUUUUUCUUUAUUCCCCCCCCCAAAAAAAAAACUAGGUGCGUCCUAUGGGGCGAAAAAUACAGUAGAUUGGAUUUACUUACUGUAUAUAGAGUACAGUGGUACCUCGGGUUACAUACGCUUCAGGUUACAUAUGCUUCAGGUUACAGACUCCGCUAACCCUGAAAUAGUACCUCGGGUUAAGAACUUUGCUUCAGGAUGAGAACAGAAAUCGUGCAGCGGCGGCGCAGCAGCAGCAGGAGGCCCCAUUAGCUAAAGUGGUGCUUCAGGUUAAGAACAGUUUCAGGUUAAGAAUGGACCUCCAGAACGAAUUAAGUACUUAACCCGAGCUACCACUGUAAAUAGAUGCAGAUCGAAUGGCUGCUAGAGGCACAGAAAGAAGAGCCAGUUAAAAGUUGGCAAUGCUUCUUUGUCACUUCAGUCCUGCAAGGCGUGACAUGCAUGGAAACUGUCUUAUACAAUUGGUCCAUCUAGCUCAAUAUUGUCUACACUGACUGGCAGCAGCUCUCCAGGAUUUCAAAAAGGGAAUUUCUCCUUGCCCUACCUGGAGCUGAUAGGAACUGAAGCCAAAUCUUCUGUAUGCAAGCCAUUUGCUCUUCCACAGAACUAUGGCUCUUUCUCAUGCACAGGAAUCUGCCUUUUUUGAAGUCAGACCAUUGGUGCAUCUAGCUCAGUUUUGUCUUGAUUGACUGGCAGUGACUCUCUAGAAUUUCAGGUACGAGUCUUUCCCAGCCCUACCUGGAAGUGCCAUUGAGAAUUGAACUGGGCCCCUUCCUGCAGGCUUGCAAAGCUUGCUAUGAGCCCAGAUGUCUCCUUCCGUGCUUUCAGUCUGUGGAUUUCCAACCCAGGCCUUUUCAUUGUCUUUCUGCAGAUCACAUCACUGCCAACAAUGCCCCCUGUUCCUGUCAUAAUUUAUAUUUUGAAGAGCAUCAUUCUUGGAAGUAAACAGUUGUUUUUUCCCCUAGAACCUGAAGGUCCUAAUAGAUAGUCCAGCCUAGUUGUGUCAUGGGAUAUUAAGAUUCGUCAGUGUUAGUAUUCUCAAGCUGUUUCUAUACAGAGUGUUAGUGCUGUUGGGCUGUUAAGAGACUCUGACAAGCUCUUGUAGAAGUGCAUUUAAUUGUAUGUUAAGUGAUUUUUUUAAAAAUCAGCUCUAUGUCUAACUAGUGGCAAACACUCUAAUUUUCCCACUGUUGUUAACAAUGUGCCCAUCAUUACUACGUGUGUGUGUGUGUGUGUGUGUGUGUGUGUGGAGAGAGAGGGGGGGGAACUUGUACUCUUCAAGCACCCCUUUUGGGGUGCAAUACACUAUGUGCAGGGUUGGUUAUACCAUUAGAUGGAGUGAGGUUGCUGCCUCAGGUGGCAGAUUCUGGUGUGGCGGCAGCAGCAGCAGUAGCAGCCCUGCCCCUCUUCCCUCUUGGGUCCCAUAUGUUAGCCUCUUGCCCAUAGGUUCAAUGGGCAAUGCUGACUUCAGCAUUAAAGUCAGGUUUACUAACUAGUCGGGUGAAAUAUCUGUACAUCAAACUGAGAUUUGCUAUAGGGAGCAAAAUGUUUUGAGGCUGUACCUGACUCUGUGCACAGAGAAGCAUUUCAUACAAUGAGAACUAGACAAUCAAAGUACAAAACUUUACCCCCCCCCCCCCCAGAAAUAGAUAAAGGCCAUUCACUUGUACAGUAGAAGUGCUCACUCAGGGACACACAUGCUCAUGGAGAGCCCAGCAAUGAAGAACUAAGUCCUAUCUUUUAUUUUACAGCAUUUUAUAAUAACAAGGUUUGCGAUGACACUAACAUUUUUUCCCUGAGGAGAGACUGUUCUUUUCUAAAUUAAACAUUCUUCAUUCUUACCACUCACAACUGGUUUAUUUUGUGGACAGUAAAGGCAGCAAAGGCUGGUAGCUUCUGAGAAAAUUAAAGAUACAGUACCAUUGUCGUUGACAUAGAAAGAACAUCUGUCACAAAACAUAUAUAACAUAUUAACAUGUGAAGUGCUAACGGCAGAUAAACAUACAUAAAUUAACAAAAGCAGAUAGAAAUCAACACAGCAAAGCUAAGUCCUACUUAGAGAAGACCCAUUGAAAUUAAUGGCCAUGAUGACCAACUUAGGUCCAUUCAUUUCAAUAGGUCUACAGCCUUACUAUAGGGUUAACACUGGAUACAGCCCAUUGCCUCUUACUGGUGUUGUGAGUGCUUGCAUAGCGGGGUCUUGUGUCCUGUUUUAUAGUGUGCAGUCUUCUGUUUGAAGUUACAGUCCAAAGAAGAGAAGGGGUGGGGGAGGAGGACUUGAAGCUGUCCACCUCCAGUUAGCACCUGGGCAGCAGUCCGAGGGGGUACACAGAUCACCUGGACCCAGUGCUCUCCAUGGUGGUUUGAUGCAAUGUCUUUCCAUUGCAGAAGGAACACUGGUUAGAGUGUUCAACUAGAACCUGGGAGACCAGGGUUCAAAUCCCCACUCAGCCAUGAAGCUCACUAGGUGACCGUGAGCCAGUCACUCAAUCUGAGUCUGACCUACCUCACAGGUUGUUGUGAGGAUAAAAUGCAUAGGAGAAGAACCGUGUACACCACCUUCAGCUCCUUGAAGGUAGAGUGCAGUUCAAGGGGUGUGGGGCACCUGGGCGCUGAAUUCUGGGGGGCACCAGGUGCCCACCGCUGAAGCCACCUAAGCUCUUAACUAUCUACCUGUUAUGAAAUAAUAAAUAAUUUUGAUCAAGCUAGAAAAACAAAAUACAUAUAUACCUAGGUAUUACCAAAAUGUAUACCUACUGUUUCACUAAAGGACUUUCGACUUUGUGGCUCAUUUACCAAAGACGCACCACACCAGCAGCAGCAACUGUCAUUCACAAUGGCGGCGCUUCAGACUCAACGACGACGUUGUCAUUCUCAAUGGCGCCGUGCACACAAAAUUAACUCUACAUGUUUUAUUGAGCUGUGCUGCUAUGUGGCAGCAGGGUCAGCGGCACCUUUGACACAACUGAUGUUUCUCCUAAAUAGGAGCCUAAACAGUACUUAUAAGUUUAAGUGUGGUGGUGUUGUAUACUUAAGUAUAAGUGUAAUGUAAAUAAAUGAGCAAAAGAAAAGUUUGUUUCUUUUUCCUCCCUUCUUUCGUAAACAAGAGAUAAGGCGUAAGCGUGGUGUCUGACAUAAACAUAAUAAAAGUUAAUUUGGGGGCUAAACUAAAUUUGGGGGCGCUGGGCGAAUCUUUGCACCCCUGUGGUGCAUAUGCUAAAGAUGGCCCGGAUAGGGUGGGAUAUAAAUGUAAUAAGUAAUUGCAUCAGUACCAGCUGCCUGUCACCCUGGGUGUAAAGAAACAAAGUGUAAGGUAAACCAGACUCUCUCUCGCACAUGUCAAUGCUGUAUCCAGUUGGGAAAGGUUUAUGAUUGAAUAGCCGCCACUCUUUCAUAUGGAGGGGGGCAGUUUAAGGGGGACACUCAAAGACACUUGCACCUGCAUCUUGUGGUCUCAGUGUUUAAAGUGAGAAUCUCCCCCAUCUGUCAAUUAUAGCCUAUACUACGGACUUUGCACCAUAAACCUUCCAAGUUUCCAAUACUCUUUUAAUAAGGCAGCUAAUCCUAUAAAGUUGGGGUGCAGAACCUCCAGCCUGAGCCCAAAUGCAGCUCUCUCUGUUUUUAUUUUCUUAUCUUGGGAUUCUCCCUUGGCUACAUCUUUUUUCUACGUCAUCAGCCCCACUAACCUUGCUCCAUUCCCUCCCUCAGUGCUUUUGCCUGCCUGGAACGUGCCCUUCAACUGUGAUAAUACUUCUUGCUUCUCUGGAUGCAGAUAUGUGCAUGGUACUAAAGAAACCUUCUAACUUUUGCAUAGUUUAAAUAGAGUUUCCUGCACUAAGUGUGGGUAACAGUAAUUUCUCUGCCUCUUUUGCCUCCUGCUUCACCCACCACAGACAUGGCCCCCAUGGUGGUGGUGGUCCUUGGGCUGAUUCCCCCCCCCCAUUGUUUAUGAAGUCUCUCUGUACCUUUCUACUGCUAGGGAAGUGGUAACCCAUAUCAAUAUUUUAAAGAGCAUCAAUAGUGUGAGUUUAGGGGGGGGUAUAGGGUGCAUGCCCGAGACCCUUCUAAUUCCUAGAUCUAACAAAGGUUAAAAUCUAAUGGAGGAUUCAGUUGUAGCAAGGCUAGCUUCUUGGUGGUGGCCCUCUAGCAGGAGUUGUUAAGGAAGUGGCUCUGGGUGCCUCCCCCCUCUCAACUGGCUGUUAGUUAGAAGGGCAAAAACCAGAGCUAAGGUGUUUAUGAACUAUAAGCAGAAGGCAGAAGUUGAAAGCCUGUCAGGGAAAGUCUUGCUUGAUUUCUGUUGGAAUCUAAGGCUGUGGCUAAGGGAGAAGCAAGACUUUAUUGGGGUGAUAAUGCUGCGAGCUCCUCUAUCCUAUGCUCAGGUUGCAAAAAGGUAAAGGUAAAGGGGCCCCUGACCAUUAGGUCCAGUCGUGGCCGACUCUGGGGUUGCGACGCUCAUCUCGCUCUAUAGGCCGAGGGAGCCAGUGUUUGUCUGCAUACAGCUUCCGGGUCAUGUGGCCAGCAUGACUAACCUGCUUCUGGCGAACCAGAGCAGCGCACGAAAACGCCGUUUACCUUCCCACUGAAGUGGUACCUAUUUAUCUACUUGCAUUGAGGUGCUUUUGAACUGCUAGGUGAGGGGAUUUGAACCGCCAACCUUCUGAUCGGCAAGUUCUAGGUUCUGUGGUUUAACCCACAGCGCCACCCACGUCCCUCAAGUUGUAUAUAUGUAUAAAUAAAUCAUAUAUCCUAAACAAACCACAGGCUCUGCUAUCCCUCAUUCCAAGGAAAACAGAAUGCUGUGUAAGCACGUGUAACCCCUGGAAUAUCAAACCACUUGAGGAUUAUGGUGGUGUGCAACAAUACAGUUCAAAAGCUCCUUUAAAGGAAUAGUACAGUCAUACCUCGGGUUGAAGUAGCUUCGGGAUAAGUACUUUUCGGUUGGGCGCUGCGGCGACCUGGAAGUAACGGAGCACGUUACUUCUGGGUUUCGUUGCUUGCGCAUGUGCAGAUGGUCAAAAUGACACCACGCGCGUGCACGGAAGCGGCAAAUCGCGACCCGUGCAGACGCACAAACGCAGGUUGCGUUUGCUUCUGUAUGCGAACGGGGCUCCAGAACGGAUCCCAUUCGCAUCCAGAAGUACAAGUGUAAUGGAUAUACUAUUGAAACUGAAAUUACACUUAGCUACCAUUUAUCAUGUAACAGCAGAAUAUUGCAUUUAAAAUUACUUGAGAUAUGCAUCCUUUGGAAGGACUGCUGCCAUUUUUUUAUUUCAAUAAAAUGGCUUCAAUUUCCGUUUAUCCACAUCUUCAGCUGGGAAACAGUCUUCAAUCCAGUUGUUCUGCGUUUGCCCCGAUGGAUCAGAAAUCGUGCAUACAAAUUAAAUGUUACUAGUGUGAGUUGGUUAAGAUUUUAAUGAAACUGCGGAGUAAAUAUUAAUAGUCAAAUGUAGGGAUCUCAACCAAUUAAGGAUUUUCAGUUGAUUCAUUAUCAGGCUUUUAUCUGCCAGCAGCCCUAACCAUGGCAUAACUAUGGUGUCAGUUGUAGGGCAGCUAAAGUUGUGGCUAAGCCAAAAUGAGAUUUGCAGGCAUAACUGAUCAGCUGCUUGGCCACACAUGCAAAUCUUCCCAAGCAUGACAAUCCAUGGAUUGUCAAUGCAAGAAAAAGUACUUUACCUGAUAUCAAGUGAUUGACAGGUGGGCAACCCCCAACACCUGUAAAACAUGUCCCACAGACUGUGGGGAAGGUAAGGAUGCUAGGACCUAGGAUUCACAGGCCAUUCACCACUGGUUUCACAUAAAGAGGAAACGCACCCUGUAUCAUCAGUGGUUCCCUGUGGCUGCAUGUUGCAAGUAAAUAUUGGUAAGCUACAACGCUGUGCACGCUGACCUAGAAAUAAGCCCCACUGACCUUGCUUGUUGUGCAUAGGAUUGCACCAGAAGGCUAGCAGGCUUCAGGGGAAGCUUGCUUGCUCUUAUCUUAUCCUAUGGUCUAGGGUACUAGGAGUCCCCAGGACACAAUUUCUAAUACCAUUUCCUGCUAAUCAGUGGCAAUGGCCCUGAUUUAGGAGCCUCAGUACAACUGCAGUAAAGUACGUCAUGAAGAAAAUAGGGAGAAGUUCACCGAUUCAGGGAAGCGUUUUUCUUAAUUCUUAAUUGCAAACUCACAGCACCAUGUUGUCAUGAAACUGAAGUUUAUUCUUUGACACCAGUUGCCCAGUGAAAUUUUGCAGAGGCAAUUAUAGUUGAGCUUCACAGAGGUUAAGGGACCUUCCCAAAAUUCACACUGUAGAACAAGUGUAGUACAGGGCCUGAGCUCCUCUGUUGUGACAUGAAACAGAGAAACGCCACUUCUUCAUCCCUGAAUUCAUUAUCCGGUAAUGAGAAUACGUAUAUUACGGAUGCAGCCUCCCCACUGCCAGUCUCCUUUAAAUUGGUUAUAUUAUCAGGCAAGUAGAACAACAGGUUCAUAGAGUUCACAAAUCCAGCAGCUGAAUUAAAGGCUUCCACUUAAAGCCUAUGGACUCCCUCUCGUGAUGUAAUAAGUUUGCUUAUUAACAUUUCUGAUGCGUAAUUAUGUGCCUUUCAAUCAUGUUGCUGGUCUGCAUAUCCAGCUAAAGAAAUGUGGAGGCAGGGAGAUAGAGAGACAAGCAGCAGGGAGCUAAUACUGAAUUUGGUACAUGUGUUAAGCAACAAACUGCUCAAGGGAUUCGUCUGUUUAUGUGUGACAGGGAGCUUUCUGAGAAUAUUUAAAUAUCUAUGGGUGACGCUCAAUGGCCAUUCACGUGUAGGAAGUGUUACUACUCUCUCAGGGUACUUGAGGUGCGGUGGGGGGUGGGGACUGGACAUCUCUGGAGUAGCACUGUGCCAAACCUUCAAUUUCUCAUAAGUUUUCUUCCCUUGCAAAAGAGUUUGGCAUUUCACCGCUCCUCACCUCAUUUACAUAGUGCUUUUGAAUUUCUUUAGCAUUUCUGUACCUUUGCAGGGUUGAGCUUCCCAUAUCAUUGCAAAACUGCUGUGGGCAGUGGGUUUUUUAAAAUUUCCAUUAAAUGUUUUUCCAGUGAACUGCAGAUUCUUGAUCUGAAAAAGCCUUAUGGGAGAAGUUGCCUUUAUGAUGUCUUCUCCUGUUUUAAUUAAAGGGGGUGGGGGUGGGGAAUUGGCUAUCAAGCACGUAAGAUUGGUGUACCCACGGAUUUUGUUUUUAAAGGAAGUUCUUCCUUUCACCUUUUAUUCCUCUUAAAUUUCAACGCUGAUUUAUUUAAAAGUAAAAAUACUUCCCUUAAAAUAAAAUAAAACCGAACAGUUGCCAGGCACACAGUAAGCAGCCUCUCCACCUUCAUGUGCUUUCAGGAUACCUAGAUACCUAGAUGAAGAUGGUUUGGAGCUCUGAAGUUAGUUCUGCCAGGGCACUGGAGGUGAUGCUGGACACAGGAAGGAGGAACCAGACAUCAGAUCUCGCUGCCCAACACCAGAGCUCUGUCUCUGACACUGAAGAGCAUCAUCCACCCAGGAGCUACAGGGCUGCACCC
rnacentral:lncRNA from 1 species